rnacentral:tRNA from 1 species
CUGGACAUAGCUCAACCUGGCAGAGCACUCGGUUCGGGACCGAGGGAUGUGCGUUCGAAUCGCGCUGUCUAGA